ACUUUCCGUUGGCACAUUGUCAAGAAUUGGGGAGUCUAUUUUGAAAUAUACGAAGGAGAAAGAAAACGAAAAGAGAGAGAGAGAGCGAGGGGAGAGAAAAAAAAAACACCGAGGAGAAAGCUUUAAAUGGUGAUCUUGUGGACAAUGCACUGGCAGCUCUAACACGCGAUCAGUCUGUUUGGUACCCUCUCUGUUUGGCUGUCCCUGGAGCCGAUAUUGACAAAGAAAUGGAGACACAACUAAAGAACCACAUUGUACCCCUGUCCAGGCGAUGGGAGCUUGAUAAUCAGAAAACCAAGAUAAGACGCGUGUAUCAGCCUAAUUAUAUCCUCAACAAGUUUUUAAUAAAACAAAUAUUGCAGGAGAUAAGAUGGUUUCUUGGUAACUUGAUCGGGUAUUAUUACUUAAGUGUAAGGGUAGACGUCAAGGUUUUCUGAACAAUAAAGCUAUUUUGCCACUCCGCAAUUUUCCGAUCAAGGAAGAUCCAUUGAAAGUCAGAUGAGUGUUGGACACGUUAGGGUGAUGGGGUCGAACUUCGAGCCAAGAUCGCAAGAAUUUCAAACUUGCAUUUGAUCUGCGUGCAACGCGUGUGUGAUAUACUAUACUAAAAGUUUCACAUGACAAAUGGAUUUGGCAAGCUUCUUUUCCAAAACCACAAUGGUUCAAUGAGAAUUACGGGCAGCCCUUUCAUUAGAUCUUUCAUCCGAGUUUUCAUCACUGGAAAACUUGCUCCUACAUGUACACAACAACAUCUGCAUUGCAUAAUUUAAAGGUAUCAAGAGCUC
rnacentral:sRNA from 1 species